rnacentral:rRNA from 1 species
AUACGGAGGGUGCAAGCGUUAAUCGGAAUUACUGGGCGUAAAGCGCGCGUAGGCGGUUAUUUAAGUCAGAUGUGACAUCCCUGGGCUCAACCUAGGAACUGCAUCUGAUACUGGGUAACUAGAGUUUUGGAGAGGUAAGUGGAAUUUCCGGUGUAGCGGUGAAAUGCAUAGGGAUCGGAAGGAACACCAGUGGCGAAGGCGACUUACUGGCCAAAAACUGACGCUGAGGUGCGAAAGCGUGGGUAGCGAACAGGAUUAGAUACCCUAGUAGUCC